rnacentral:rRNA from 1 species
UGAGGAAUAUUGCACAAUGGGCGAAAGCCUGAUGCAGCAACGCCGCGUGAGGGACGAAGGCCUUCGGGUUGUAAACCUCUUUUCUGAGGGACGAGACAAGGACGGUACCUCAGGAAUAAGUCUCGGCUAACUACGUGCCAGCAGCCGCGGUAAGACGUAGGAGGCGAGCGUUAUCCGGAUUUACUGGGCGUAAAGCGCACGCAGGCGGCUUCGUUAGUCGGAUGUGAAAGCUCCUGGCUUAACCGGGAGAGGCCAUUCGAUACUGCGAGGCUUGAGGUUGGAAGAGGGGUGUGGAAUUCCCGGUGUAGUGGUGGAAUGCGUAGAUAUCGGGAGGAACACCUGUGGCGAAAGCGGCACCCUGGUCCACACCUGACGCUGAGGUGCGAAAGCGUGGGUAGCAAACA